UACGUAGGGGGCUAGCGUUGUCCGGAAUCAUUGGGCGUAAAGCGCGCGUAGGCGGUCAGGUAAGUCCGGUGUGAAAGUCAAAGGCUCAACCUUUGAAUGCCGCUGGAUACUGCUUGACUUGAGUCCGGAAGGGGCGAGUGGAAUUCCUGGUGUAGCGGUGAAAUGCGCAGAUAUCAGGAAGAACACCCGUGGCGAAGGCGGCUUUCUGGGACGGUACUGACGCUGAGACGCGAAAGCGUGGGGAGCGAACAGG
rnacentral:rRNA from 1 species